rnacentral:rRNA from 1 species
GACGAACGCUGGCGGCGUGCCUAAUACAUGCAAGUAGAACGCUGAAGAGAGGAGCUUGCUCUUCUUGGAUGAGUUGCGAACGGGUGAGUAACGCGUAGGUAACCUGCCUUGUAGCGGGGGAUAACUAUUGGAAACGAUAGCUAAUACCGCAUAACAAUGGAUGACACAUGUCAUUUAUUUGAAAGGGGCAAUUGCUCCACUACAAGAUGGACCUGCGUUGUAUUAGCUAGUAGGUGAGGUAACGGCUCACCUAGGCGACGAUACAUAGCCGACCUGAGAGGGGUGACGGCCCACCCGGGACUGAGACACGGCCCAGACUCCUACGGGAGGCAGCAGUAGGGAAUCUUCGGCAAUGGGGGCAACCCUGACCGAGCAACGCCGCGUGAGUGAAGAAGGUUUUCGGAUCGUAAAGCUCUGUUGUAAGUCAAGAACGAGUGUGAGAGUGGAAAGUUCACACUGUGACGGUAGCUUACCAGAAAGGGACGGCUAACUACGUG